rnacentral:misc_RNA from 1 species
GAUGAAGAACGUAGCGAAAUGCGAUACGUAAUGUGAAUUGCAGAAUUCAGUGAAUCAUCGAGUCUUUGAACGCACAUUGCGCCCCCUGGUAGUCCGGGGGGCAUGCCUGUCCGAGCGUCAUUGCUGCCCUCAAGCCCGGCUUGUGUGUUGGGUCUCGUCCCCCUUCCCGGGGGGACGGGCCCGAAAGGCAGCGGCGGCACCGUGUCCGGUCCUCGAGCGUAUGGGGCUUUGUCACCCGCUCUGUAGGCCCGGCCGGCGCUUGCCGAUCAACCAAAACUUUUUUCCAGGUUGACCUCGGAUCAGGUAGGGAUACCCGCUGAACUUAAGCAUAUCAAUAAGCGGAGGA